GGGCGAGUGGCGGAAUAGGCAGACGCGCUGGCUUCAGGUGCCAGUGACCGCAAGGUCGUGGGGGUUCAAGUCCCCCUUCGCCCACAA
rnacentral:tRNA from 1 species